UACGUAGGUGGCGAGCGUUGUCCGGACUUACUGGGCGUAAAGGGAGCGUAGGCGGACUUUUAAGUGAGAUGUGAAAUACUCGGGCUCAACUUGAGUGCUGCAUUUCAAACUGGAAGUCUAGAGUGCAGGAGAGGAAAAUGGAAUUCCUAGUGUAGCGGUGAAAUGCGUAGAGAUUAGGAAGAACACCAGUGGCGAAGGCGAUUCUCUGGACUGUGACUGACGCUGAGGCUCGAAAGCGUGGGGAGCAAACAGG
rnacentral:rRNA from 1 species